GGCUCAGUGGUCUAGAAGUAUGAUUCUUCGUUCGGGUCGAAGAGGUCCCGGGUUCAAUUCCCGGCUGAGCCC
rnacentral:tRNA from 5 species